UGUGAGGAUGCCCUUAAUCCCCUGCCCGGGGACGAGGAGCCGGCAUCAGGCACGCCCAAGCAGCCCAAGACGCCUUGCUAAGCCACACCCCCAAGGAAACCCAGCAGUGAUAAAUAUUAAGCCAUAAGCGAAAGCUUGACUUAGUUAAAGUUAAGAGGGCCGGUAAAACUCGUGCCAGCCACCGCGGUUAUACGAGAGGCCCUAGUUGAUAACUACCGGCGUAAAGAGUGGUUACGGAAAAAUAUUUAAUAAAGCCGAACACCCCCUCAGCCGUCAUACGCACCUGGGGGCACGAAGAUCUACUACGAAAGCAGCUUUAAUUAUACCUGAACCCACGACAGCUACGACACAAACUGGGAUUAGAUACCCCACUAUGCCUAGCCGUAAACUUUGAUGGAAACAUACAACUGACAUCCGCCAGGGGACUAUAAGCGCCAGCUUAAAACCCAAAGGACUUGGCGGUGCCUCAGACCCACCUAGAGGAGCCUGUUCUAGAACCGAUAACCCCCGUUCAACCUCACCACCUCUUGUUUUCCCCGCCUAUAUACCACCGUCGUCAGCUUACCCUGUGAAGGCCUUAUAGUAAGCAAAAUGGGCAAAACCCAAAACGUCAGGUCGAGGUGUAGCGCAUGGGGUGGGAAGAAAUGGGCUACAUUCUCUAAAUUAGAGCACU
rnacentral:rRNA from 1 species